rnacentral:tRNA from 1 species
CAGGAGUUAGUUUUAUUAAAAUAUUGGUUUUGGGGACCAAGGAUAUUUCUAUUCCUUA